UACGAAGGGGGCUAGCGUUGCUCGGAAUCACUGGGCGUAAAGCGCACGUAGGCGGAUUGUUAAGUCAGGGGUGAAAUCCUGGAGCUCAACUCCAGAACUGCCUUUGAUACUGGCGAUCUCGAGUCCGGGAGAGGUGAGUGGAACUGCGAGUGUAGAGGUGAAAUUCGUAGAUAUUCGCAAGAACACCAGUGGCGAAGGCGGCUCACUGGCCCGGUACUGACGCUGAGGUGCGAAAGCGUGGGGAGCAAACAAG
rnacentral:rRNA from 1 species